UUGGUUAAACUUCAUGUGAAUCUGUUAUCAAAUUGCAGACUUACAAUUAGUAGACCCUGUACCCCAAAUCCUAGGAGAAGCCCUGAUGUGAAUUAUCAGACUUAAAUGCAAGAUUAAAUCUUCAGGAGUUCACAAGUAUGAAAAAACAAAUUUUAAUCUGAACAUAGAUUCACUUUAAGGUGCAUUUUCGGGGCUCAUAUGAUUGAAUGUUUUGGUAAUAUAUACAUUAAUUUAAAUGUAUGACCACACAUAUAAAUUGACAAAGUUCAAACGUAUGAAUAGAAAAAAAUUAUUGGUUUUGUGGACAGGUUGGAUUGAAAAUCGGACAGGUCAAAUUUAUGAGCACCUGUCCGAAGGACAGGUGCUCAUAAAAGUUAGUGUCUAGCCCUGUAUUAUUUAUGCAUUU